rnacentral:rRNA from 1 species
GACGUAGGGCGCGAGCGUUGUCCGGAUUUAUUGGGCGUAAAGAGCUCGUAGGCGGCUUGUUGCGUCAGCUGUGAAAGCCCAUGGCUUAACUGUGGGUUGGCAGCUGAUACGGGCAGGCUAGAGUUCGGUAGGGGAGACUGGAAUUCCUGGUGUAGCGGUGAAAUGCGCAGAUAUCAGGAGGAACACCGGUGGCGAAGGCGGGUCUCUGGGCCGAUACUGACGCUGAGGAGCGAAAGCGUGGGGAGCGAAC